UAGGGAAUCUUCCACAAUGGACGCAAGUCUGAUGGAGCAACGCCGCGUGAGUGAAGAAGGUUUUCGGAUCGUAAAGCUCUGUUGUUGGUGAAGAAGGAUAGAGGCAGUAACUGGUCUUUAUUUGACGGUAAUCAACCAGAAAGUCACGGCUAACUACGUGCCAGCAGCCGCGGUAAUACGUAGGUGGCAAGCGUUGUCCGGAUUUAUUGGGCGUAAAGCGAGCGCAGGCGGAAUGAUAAGUCUGAUGUGAAAGCCCACGGCUCAACCGUGGAGCUGCGUCAGAAACUGUCAUUCUUGAGUGUAGUAUAGGAGUGUGGAAUUCCAGUUGUGGCGGUGGAAUGCGUAGAUAUAUGGAAGAGCACCAGUGGCGAGGGCGGCUCUCUGGUCUGCAACUGACGCUGAGGCUCGAAAGCAUGGGUAGCGAACAGG
rnacentral:rRNA from 1 species